rnacentral:lncRNA from 1 species
UUCAUUACAGGAGAAGGAUAAACUAAGCCACUAUCAAGAUAAAAAAACAAUUACUAAAGGUUGAAACUUGAAACUAGAUAAAAGUAAAGGUUUAGAUCCAUGUCAGCAAAACAGGAAAACUCAAGAACUUUCAUAACAGCUUUGCCUCAGUUUGGCCACGCAGAAAGCAGCAAUUUGCUGCUUUUCAUUUUCCUGCGUCUCGCACGCAAUAAAUUGAGGGACCCAUACACAGUAAACAACUUUUUUUUCUUAACCAAACACAAGCUCAGUGCGUUUUUGAAGAAAC